UUGCGCGAACUGUUCGUGCGUGUAUGGCGAAAUAGCUCAUAUUCGUAGUAAUUUCUGAACAGAACAGACGUGCGCGGAAAAGUCAAAUGGACAGUAAAAAAUUUCUGAGUGAAUUUAUUGAAAUGUACAAAUCUUUGUCAUCAUUGUGAAGUGGAUCCUGAUGCCACAAAGGAUACAGUUAUAAAAAAAAUAAUUAGUUUGCGGGCGCAAUACCGGCGUGAAUCGAAAAAAAAGAGAGAUAGUUUGAAGUCUGGUGCUGGUGCUGAAGAUGAAUAUGUUCCUACUCUUUGGUGCCAUGAUUUGCUAUGCUUUUUGAAAGAUCAAGAAGAACCUUUGGCAGGCGUUACCACAAUGCAGGAUGAAAAUACAAACACAUUUGAGGAAUUCACUGUUCGACCAAGCAAAAGAAAAGUUUCUGAAGAAGAUAAACUUAUUAAAAUUGCAUGCGAGAGACUUGCCAACAGCCGCGAACCCACAGAAGGUGACUCCUUGGCUCAAUCGUGGGCUUCGCAGUAUAGUGAAAUGGAGGCCUCCCAGAAAACGAUUGCGCGAAAAAUCAUAUCAGAUGUUUUAUUUCAAGGUUGCUUGGGAGCAUUGGAAUUUGGACACGCGAUUCAAAUCCAAAAUGUGUUUAACCCAAGUCAAAUAUUAACACCAAAUGUCAUUCCGCAAUACCCAAUGCGCACGUCUACGCAACUUAACUACGCGGUGCCCCAACACAUGCAUAAUUAUACAAUAAGAGUUCCGACUCCUUUAAGUAGCGGCUCGUCCAUAAACAGUAGUAGAAUGUCACCUCAAGUCACACAAAACGCCAUUAAUUCGAGCUCGGUAGAAAACUUACAAAAUUUCUUUGCAUCGUUUGAAGAGAACGAAUAAUUUAUUUUUAUUUUUACUUCAAAAACCAAUAAUUUUCAGACACACAUAUGUACACAUGAAACUUUUCUUGUUUGGUCGAAAAUAAAUAAUUUAAUAAAUAAAUAAUUACCUUAAUA